UACGAAGGGGGCUAGCGUUGUUCGGAAUCACUGGGCGUAAAGCGCACGUAGGCGGAGGUGUCAGUCAGGGGUGAAAUCCCGGAGCUCAACUUCGGAACUGCCUUUGAUACAGCACGUCUUGAGUCCGGAAGAGGUGGGUGGAAUUCCUAGUGUAGAGGUGAAAUUCGUAGAUAUUAGGAAGAACACCGGUGGCGAAGGCGGCCCACUGGUCCGGUACUGACGCUGAGGUGCGAAAGCGUGGGGAGCAAACAGG
rnacentral:rRNA from 1 species